UCUAUCCAAGUGCAUCAAGCAAAAUGUGAGUAAAGAAAGUUUGACCAAAGGAUUGAUAGUAAUGUUGAAUACAUUUAAUAGUAGAUCUAAGAUUAAAAGGUGAAAGUGAGCGUGAGAAGAGUGUAAGAAUGCUUUGUGUUCUGACAAAGAGAAUGUAGCACCCAGGUCCUACCUGCUUGGAUGCAUUGCCAGUGCCCACGGUAGGCCAUUUUAUCCAGGUUUUUAGGUUUUGUCUUGUUUUGUUUGGUUUUUUUCUUUUCAGGAGUGUUAGUCCAAGACCAAUAACUCCGUAACUGGUAGAUUUGGAAGACUUUAAUAGUGCUUAACAUUCUGUAAAUAGCUUUAUAUCAGUUUUCUUUUUCUUUUUUUCUGAGAGAUUCUUUUCAAUAUACCCCAUCAUGGUUGAACUCAAAAAUCAUUGCUUAUUUAAAAUCUACAACUGCUGACGUUUUGUAACGUUCGCAUUCCAGAUACAACAGAGAAAUGCAUAAUGUCCAGUCAAUUUAUUAAAGUUCCAAACUCGGUGGCACGCAGUGGCUCACGCCUGUAAUCUCAACACUUCGGGAGACCGAGGCGUGUGGAUCACGAGGAGUGAGGACACAGCGAAAGUGAGACAAGGAAAAGAGAACAAAAUAAAACAGGAAAGAUAGAAAAGCCAAUACCACACGUGUUAAGAGUAACAAGCUCCCGUGCUGCUAGAGAAAGUCCUCAGCUAGAAACUGGUGCAAAUUCUGGAGAUGAGACCUUGUAGAGUGUUAAGAAUGGUUUUCUUCCCAGCAGCUACAGGGCAGAGAAGACCCAGAGAAAGCCCAAGUGGCUGCUGGAACAAAGUCAGACACCGUGCCACCUGUCCACACUCCUUGGCUCUGCCAUCAUGCUGAAGAUCGCUUUAAAGGACUGGCUUCCCUCCCCCCAAAAUUAAAAGAGCACAGACUGAGAAACUGAAUGUGGGAGACAGCAGUGGAUUAUGCUGUUCUCAGAGCUCACCUCAGGUUUGGAAGCAUUCUUUCAAAUUAACCCAUCUCAGGCCGUCUGCAGAGAAGAAAGGUGGUACCUAACUUUUUUUCUUGUCAGCAUUUGGUAGGGGUGUUUUAUUGACCAAAUAUUUUCCCACAACCUAGUUUUUUGUGACUAACUAAAUAUAGUAGAGUUUUAAAUUUUAUCAUCAAAAUCUAUAGACAAUUUUUGAUGAAAAUAGACUCCAUAUCUAUGUCCUGCUUUUCUUCUUCUUAUUAAUUACAUUGCUGUAUAAAAGAACAAGACUUCAGAAUCAAGAAUAUCUUGUCUCUUGGCAUUGAAUUUAUACAAGGUGCUCUUUCUUUAAUGCUUAUCAAAGGACAUAUUUUUACUCAUUAAAAAGGAAGAUCGGAAUCUAGUUGUAUGCACUGCUCCAACAUAUUAAUAAUUAAAAUUAGGAGGUAAAUGUGGUCAAAGCUAUAGAAAGACUGAGAUGUCAUUUAUAUUGAUUACUGUCUAGCCCUCUACAAACAGAAAUUGUUAAAUAAUAGUUUAUACAAAUAUUUUGUAGCAUUUCAAAUAUUUGAGUGCUUGAAGUUUCUCCUCUUCUAUAGUUCAGAUUAUCAAUUUGAAGACUUACUCCGCUAGUUAAUAUGUUUUUAGUCUCGUUUGAGUAUUAUGUAAAAGCAAUUUUCAGUUAAAUGUGUUUCUCUUACAUAAAACAUUACGAAUUAUUGAGGAUUUAAUUACUUAUUCAUGUUCCUGUAAUGUCUUUAGAAGAUUUUCUUAUUAUUACCUAUCAAUAUAUGUAUGCUUUGUCAAAGAAAAAUCAAACAUAUAUAUCAUUGAAAUUGAAACUUUUUAAAAUUACUUAUUCCAUUGAAAAACCACAUCCAUAGGAACACUUACAAUAUAAUAUUGUGAACAUGUAAACAUAUACCCUAUAUCUAUUUUAUGUAUAAGCAUGUAUGAUUAAAAAUAUAGUGAAUAAUUUUUAAACCUAGUAUUAUAAAGUAAAAAUUUGUUAACUUCUGAUGAUUAUUUGUUAAUUAAGAUAAAAUUAUUUUGAUUUGGGUGAUUUUAAAUAAAGAAAAAUAUUAAAUUACAUGACAAAAAUUCUUUAUAAAAUGUUUAUGAUUUUUACAUUGGUUUUAUCACUUUUUCCACUAUUUUAUUUUAAGAUGACCUGCCUGAUUUAAAACACUGUAUUCAUCUUAAUUAAAUUAAAUUCCAUUUGUAAAAAAAUUAACAAAUGAUUUGCUUUAUUGUACAGUGCGGUUAUAAACUGAGUCAGUAUCUCAAGAUUUGAUCCCCAUUAUCAUCAUCUGUGGUCCUAUUUGUUUUAUAAAUGUAUUGUCUUUUUCCAUGCCUGUCACAUCUCUAUUGCUCUUUCAUUUUUCUCUUUGUCCCUUAUAGGGAGCAUUGCCUAUCUCUAGAUUAAGAAAAAGUUGCAUCAUAACAAAGCACAAUAACCUACUCAAUCUUUCUCACACAGAGAAAUGUUUGUUAAGUAAUUAAAGUGAAGAUGAUUAUACAAAGAGCUUGAAUAAAUUAGAUGCCAAAGUACCCUUGUGAUUCAGAAUAUGAAUGGUAUUUAAUUUCUUUGAAAUCAUUAAUUGCUGAGUGACAUUAAUUAAUGCCAAUAUUCCAGAAGAUGUUCUAGUGAGUGAAAUGUAUACAAUAUGCAAAAGAUUCAGAACUCUGAAGGGCAUCAUUAUUCUAUAAUUAAGAAUUAAUUCACAUUAAUUAUUGGGGAGAAAUAAUUAUUAAGAAUUAAUGAAUGAGAAAAUGUUUUUAUUUUUUAUUUAGAAAAUUAUUUUGUGCAUGAGCAUUACCGCAAGUUUUGCAAGAAACAUAAAUUUAAAGAAACAAUUAUGUGCACAAGAUGAAUUUAAUAACAUCUUGAUAUAUUCCACGAUUGCGGUUUUAUUUGGUAAAUCUUUAAAUGCACACCAUUUAAAGAUAAUAAAUGAAUCUUGGAAACCUUGUAGGUAAGGGUAAAUAUGAGGAUGCAUCCAGUUACAUUUACACACACAUACAGUUACAUUUACACACGCAUACAUGCAUACAGACUGAUUCACGUGUGUAUAUAUAUAUAUAUGAAUUUACUAACUGAUGCUAACUAGUAUUUAUACGAGCCAGUUGGAUUGAUAUAUAUUGUUGAACCUGAGAAAUAUUUAUUGUAUACAUGUUUAAAAUACACUCAGAAAUAAAUACUAAUUGCACUAGGCAUUUGAAACUAUACUAAAAUAUAAGCUGUGAAUAUUUUUUGAUCAUUACAAAUUCUUACACUGAAUAAAUAUUUCUUUUUUUACAAUAUU